rnacentral:rRNA from 1 species
AUCAACGCUGGCGGCGUGCCUAACACAUGCAAGUCGAACGCGAAAGUGGAGCAAUCCAUGAGUAGAGUGGCAAACGGGUGAGUAACGCGUGGGCGACCUACCUUCGAGUGGGGGAUAACCUUCCGAAAGGAGGGCUAAUACCGCAUGACAUCCCGUGUUUAGAUACACGGACAUCAAAGCCGGGGAUCGCAAGACCUGGCGCUUGAAGAGGGGCCCGCGUCCGAUUAGCUAGUUGGCGAGGUAACGGCUCACCAAGGCUCCGAUCGGUAUCCGGCCUGAGAGGGCUGACGGACACACUGGAACUGAGACACGGUCCAGACUCCUACGGGAGGCAGCAGUGGGGAAUUGUUCGCAAUGGGCGCAAGCCUGACGACGCAACGCCGCGUGGAGGAUGAAGAUCUUCGGGUCGUAAACUCCUUUCGACCGAGAUGAAUUUCCGCCGACCUAACACGUCGGCGGAGUGACAGUAUCGAGGGAAGAAGCCCCGGCUAACUCUGUGCCAGCAGCCGCGGUAAUACAGGGGGGGCGAGCGUUGUUCGGAAUUACUGGGCGUAAAGGGUUUGUAGGUGGCUUGCUUAGUCAGACGUGAAAUCCCUCAGCUUAACUGGGGAACUGCGUCUGAUACUGGCGAGCUUGAGUGCAGGAGAGGAACGCGGAAUUCCAGGUGUAGCGGUGAAAUGCGUAGAUAUCUGGAGGAACACCGGUGGCGAGGGCGGCGUUCUGGACUGCAACUGACACUGAAAAACGAAAGCCAGGGGAGCAAACGGGAUUAGAUACCCCGGUAGUCCUGGCCCUAAACGAUGAAUGCUUGGUGUGGCGGGUAUCGAUCCCUGCCGUGCCGUAGUUAACGCGAUAAGCAUUCCGCCUGGGGAGUACGGUCGCAAGGCUGAAACUCAAAGGAAUUGACGGGGGCCCGCACAAGCGGUGGAGCAUGUGGUUCAAUUCGACGCAACGCGAAGAACCUUACCUGGGCUCGAAAUGCAGAUGACCAUCGGCGAAAGUCGACUUCCGCAAGGACAUCUGUAUAGGUGCUGCAUGGCUGUCGUCAGCUCGUGUCGUGAGAUGUUGGGUUAAGUCCCGCAACGAGCGCAACCCUUGUUUCCUGUUGCCAUCACGUUAUGGUGGGCACUCUGGAGAGACUGCCGGUGACAAACCGGAGGAAGGUGGGGAUGACGUCAAGUCAGCAUGGCCUUUAUGUCCAGGGCUACACACGUGCUACAAUGGUCGGUACAAACCGUCGCGAUCCCGCGAGGGGGAGCUAAUCGGAGAAAGCCGGUCCUCAGUUCGGAUUGUAGGCUGCAACUCGACUAGCAUGAAGUCUGGAAUCGCUAGUAAUCGCAGGAUCAGAACUGCUGCGGUGAAUACGUUCCCGGGCCUUGUACACACCGCCCGUCACAUCACGAAAGUGGGCUGUACUAGAAGUCGGUGGGCUAACCCGCAAGGGAAGCAGCCGCCCAAGGUAUAACUCAUGAUUGGGGUG